rnacentral:tRNA from 3 species
AUUUAUGUAGUUUAAAAAACAUUUUAUUUUCAUUAAAAAAAAGGUAAAACUUUACCCUUAAAUA